GACGAACGCUGGCGGCGUGCUUAACACAUGCAAGUCGAGCGGUAAGGCCCUUUCGGGGGUACACGAGCGGCGAACGGGUGAGUAACACGUGGGUGACCUGCCCUCAGCUCUGGGAUAAGCCUGGGAAACCGGGUCUAAUACCGGAUAUGACUCCAUGACGCAUGUUGUGGGGUGGAAAGCCUUGUGCGGCUGAGGAUGGGCCCGCGGCCUAUCAGCUUGUUGGUGGGGUGAUGGCCUACCAAGGCGACGAC
rnacentral:rRNA from 1 species